AUGUUCUGCCAUCUCAAUCAACGCGCACGUCUGCCCCUUGCGAUAGAUCGGACCACGAUCUUGCUCAGCCAAGAUGGUCUUCAUGCUAUAUUCUUUAAACGUUUUUGGCAUAUCAUUGGAGAGGAGCUUACAAAUGAAGUGCUUGAAGCGAUAAACAACAGAAAGAUCCCAGAUGGGUGGAAUGCCACUAAUGUGGUGUUAAUACCAAAGGUGGACAGUCCAGAGGUUAUUACACAGUUUAGGCCCAUCAGUCUAUGUAAUGUGGUCUACAAGAUAAUUUCAAAGAUGCUGGCUAAUAGACUGAAAAAAAUCCUACCCGAGGUAAUUUCC
rnacentral:rRNA from 1 species